rnacentral:lncRNA from 12 species
GGCUGGUGGUCCCCGCCUCCUCCCAGCUCCCGCGCACCUUUGGCCUGGGGCCUGCCCACCGAGACCCGGGGGACACAGUUUUCUAAGAGAAGCUGACUUCUCCAGCAGGGGGGGAUUUGCCAGCCGGCGGAUGUCAUGCGAGACAGAUUGCAGACGCCUCGCCUCCGUGGCCAUCAGAAUCAGAAAUGCUUGCCUGCCAAUCAGCAUUACGGCUUCUAGGCUGGAGAUCAUGGCACCAUCGUGGCACUGAUUUGUGGGAAUGCUGGCAAAGUUAUGGAAGACUUUCCUGACAUUCAUGGAGGAGAUUGACUUUCUGUGUGAGCAGCUGGGUCAUAGGGUAUAGACAGCCACGGAAGAAGCACUUGUCUCUGGGGUAAAUAGCAAAAAUGGUCAUGGAUUCUUCCCACCCCAGUAUGUACACCCCCAUGCAACAGGACAUUGGAGCUCCUCCUAACAGAAACAAGGCCUAUUUCUCCACACUUUGAGCCCGGGAUUGACCAUUGGCUUUGGCCACAGAGGCAUAAGUAAUCUUAUGCACAGUGACGUUCCCUCUUGCUACUUCUGGAAACAUACACUUGCCAUCAUGUGCAUGAGCCCCGAAUAGCCUGCUGGAAGAUGAGACCCAUGGCCCCGUGAUAUUCUUUACCCCUGCUGAUGCACAGCCAAUUGCCAGACAUGCGAGUGAGGCCAUUCACUGCUCGCUGACUACAGCCACAUGGAUGAGCCCAGCAGAGGCCUAGAAGAAUUAGCCAGCAGAUCCCAGUCCAAGUGCUGACCCAUAGAGCUUUGAGCUAAAUGCAUGGCUGCUAUUUUAAGCCAGAAAGUUUGGGGUGAUAUGUAACACAAGAAAAAUGACAGGGGGCUGAGGUUGAUUGGUAGGAAGGUCCUACUUAUUGUCGUUGGAGAAAACGAGGUAUUUCUUGAGUUCCUGCUGUACAUCCAGCCUGGGUCACUUAUGUAUAUAUUAUCUCCUUUGGGCCUCACACAAGGUACAUGAUUUCCAUUGUGAAGUUGGCACUGUUAUGAUCCUCAUGUUAUAGUCAAGGAGACUUGAGAUUCAGAAUAUUUAGGUUACUUUCCCAAAAUCACAGAGCUAAAGAGUGGUAAAGCUAGGAUUUCAACUUAGUUUGCCUACACCUUAACCCUGAUUUAUUGGGAUCUUUAUUUUUU